rnacentral:lncRNA from 1 species
GUAAUCGAAGUGGGUGUAUGAGUAUCGGAAAAAGGCCAUAAGAUGCGAGUCGUUCCUACUAAGUUACCUUUAUACUGGGAAAGGUUUCACUCUCCGGCCUGGAGAGAUUUGAGAACGGUUCGNAUUUAGGUGAGCCAUGACAGCUGCUAUGGCUGCUGAGAUUGCAGCUUGGAACGUAGCUUCAUCGAAUAAGAGAGUAGGUUUCUUGCUUGUAGACUGGUUGCGCUUCUUCGGUGGCAUGGUUUUCCUACACGGAAAGGAAUACAAGGUAAUGAGAGACGAUGGUUAACCCUGGACAUUUCUUUCCUGAACGUAUUAGGCAUAAAUUUUUCCCGUGCCUUUGGUGCUGGUCGUCUGAGUGUCGACCUACAUCCCUAUGAUGUAGUCCUGGUAAUCGAAAUGGGUGUAUGAGUAUCGGAAAAAGGCCAUAAGAUGCGAGUCGUUCUUACUAAGUUACCUUUAUAUUGGGAAAGGUUUCACUCUCCGACCUGGAGAGAUUUGAGAACGAUUCGGAACGAAACUGCGGAAAAGAGGCUCACAAGGGCAGAUGGCUAAAAUUCUCUCAAUAGAGAUGUGAGGAUCCGCCCUAAUCGUGUAUCUGGCAACGGGAAAUGACGAUUUACCUAACACAUAGCAUGAGCAGUGUAACCACUAACUCACUAAAUUGUAUUAUUUUAUGGGUGUAUUAGCGUGACGAACAC